CCUACGGGUGGCAGCAGUGAGGAAUAUUGGUCAAUGGGCGCGAGCCUGAACCAGCCAAGUAGCGUGAAGGAUGAAUGCCCUACGGGUUGUAAACUUCUUUUAUAAAGGAAUAAAGUGAGGCUCGUGUGCCUUUUUGUAUGUACUUUAUGCAUAAGGAUCGGCGAACUCCGUGCCAGCAGCCGCGGUAAUACGGAGGAUCCGAGCGUUAUCCGGAUUUAUUGGGUUCAAAGGAAGCGUAGAUGGGUUGUUAAGUCAGUUGUGAAAGUUUGCGGCUGAACCGACAAAUUGAAAUUGAUACUGGCGGUCUUGAGUACUGGAGAGGAAGGCGGAAUUCGUGGUGUAGCGGUGAAAUGCGUAGAUA
rnacentral:rRNA from 1 species